rnacentral:rRNA from 1 species
UACGAAGGGGGCUAGCGUUGCUCGGAAUCACUGGGCGUAAAGGGUGCGUAGGCGGGUCUUUAAGUCAGGGGUGAAAUCCUGGAGCUCAACUCCAGAACUGCCUUUGAUACUGAAGAUCUUGAGUUCGGGAGAGGUGAGUGGAACUGCGAGUGUAGAGGUGAAAUUCGUAGAUAUUCGCAAGAACACCAGUGGCGAAGGCGGCUCACUGGCCCGAGUACUGACGCUGAGGCACGAAAGCGUGGGGAGCAAACAGGG